AACCAGUACCGUGAGGGAAAGGCGAAAAGAACCCCGGCGAGGGGAGUGAAAAAGAACCUGAAACCGUGUACGUACAAGCAGUGGGAGCCUCUUUUAUGGGGUGACUGCGUACCUUUUGUAUAAUGGGUCAGCGACUUAUAUUCUGUAGCAAGGUUAACCGAAUAGGGGAGCCGAAGGGAAACCGAGUCUUAACUGGGCGUUAAGUUGCAGGGUAUAGACCCGAAACCCGGUGAUCUAGCCAUGGGCAGGUUGAAGGUUGGGUAACACUAACUGGAGGACCGAACCGACUAAUGUUGAAAAAUUAGCGGAUGACUUGUGGCUGGGGGUGAAAGGCCAAUCAAACCGGGAGAUAGCUGGUUCUCCCCGAAAGCUAUUUAGGUAGCGCCUCGUGAAUUCAUCUCCGGGGGUAGAGCACUGUUUCGGCAAGGGGGUCAUCCCGACUUACCAACCCGAUGCAAACUGCGAAUACCGGAGAAUGUUAUCACGGGAGACACACGGCGGGUGCUAACGUCCGUCGUGAAGAGGGAAACAACCCAGACCGCCAGCUAAGGUCCCAAAGUCAUGGUUAAGUGGGAAACGAUGUGGGAAGGCCCAGACAGCCAGGAUGUUGGCUUAGAAGCAGCCAUCAUUUAAAGAAAGCGUAAUAGCUCACUGGUCGAGUCGGCCUGCGCGGAAGAUGUAACGGGGCUAAACCAUG
rnacentral:rRNA from 1 species